UACAGAGGGGGCAAGCGUUAUUCGGAAUUAUUGGGCGUAAAGAGCUCGUAGGCGGUUUGUCGCGUCUGCUGUGAAAACUCAGGGCUUAACCCUGAGCCUGCAGUGGGUACGGGCAGACUAGAGUGUGGUAGGGGAGAUCGGAAUUCCUGGUGUAGCGGUGGAAUGCGCAGAUAUCAGGAGGAACACCGGUGGCGAAGGCGGAUCUCUGGGCCAUAACUGACGCUGAGGAGCGAAAGCAUGGGGAGCGAACAGG
rnacentral:rRNA from 1 species